rnacentral:rRNA from 1 species
UGGGGAAUAUUGCACAAUGGGGGAAACCCUGAUGCAGCCAUGCCGCGUGUGUGAAGAAGGCCUUCGGGUUGUAAAGCACUUUCAGUAGGGAGGAAAGGGUGAGUCUUAAUACGGCUCAUCUGUGACGUUACCUACAGAAGAAGGACCGGCUAACUCCGUGCCAGCAGCCGCGGUAAUACGGAGGGUCCGAGCGUUAAUCGGAAUUACUGGGCGUAAAGCGUGCGCAGGCGGUUUGUUAAGCGAGAUGUGAAAGCCCUGGGCUCAACCUAGGAAUAGCAUUUCGAACUGGCGAACUAGAGUCUUGUAGAGGGGGGUAGAAUUCCAGGUGUAGCGGUGAAAUGCGUA